AUUGAACGCUGGCGGAAUGCUUUACACAUGCAAGUCGAGCGGCAGCGCGGGGGCAACCCUGGCGGCGAGCGGCGAACGGGUGAGUAAUACAUCGGAACGUGUCCUUAAGUGGGGGAUAGCUCGGCGAAAGCCGGAUUAAUACCGCAUAAGCUCUGAGGAGGAAAGCGGGGGCUCCGUAAGGACCUCGCGCUGUUGGAGCGGCCGAUGUCGGAUUAGCUAGUUGGUGGGGUAAAAGGCCCCACCAAGGCGACGAUCCGUAGCUGGUCUGAGAGGAUGAUCAGCCACACUGGAACUGAGACACGGUCCAGACUCCUACGGGAGGCAGCAGUGGGGAAUUUUGGACAAUGGGGGCAACCCUGAUCCAGCCAUUCCGCGUGAGUGAAGAAGGCC
rnacentral:rRNA from 1 species